AUUGAACGCUGGCGGCAUGCUUUACACAUGCAAGUCGAACGGCAGCACGGGGGCAACCCUGGUGGCGAGUGGCGAACGGGUGAGUAAUGCAUCGGAACGUACCCAGUCGUGGGGGAUAACGCAGCGAAAGUUGUGCUAAUACCGCAUACGACCUGAGGGUGAAAGCGGGGGACCGUAAGGCCUCGCGCGAUUGGAGCGGCCGAUGUCUGAUUAGCUAGUUGGUGGGGUAAAGGCCCACCAAGGCGACGAUCUGUAGUUGGUCUGAGAGGACGACCAGCCACACUGGGACUGAGACACGGCCCAGACUCCUACGGGAGGCAGCAGUGGGGAAUUUUGGACAAUGGGCGCAAGCCUGAUCCAGCAAUGCCGCGUGCAGGAAGAAGGCCUCGGUUGUAAC
rnacentral:rRNA from 1 species